ensembl:lncRNA
UGGUCUCAAACUCCUGACCUCAAGCGAUCCUCCUGCCUUGACCUCUCCAAGUGCUGGGAUCACAGACGUAAGUGACCACGCCCAGCCCCAAGUGUUCUUCUGAGAGAAAGGCAGAAGGGCCAUGAAACUGCCUGUGCAAAGAUAAUGACAGUGACAGAAGUCUAGCGUGGCUGACUCCAUCUUGCCUCUAGCCUCACAGGCUGGCUGUCCUCGCUCAGUCCUGGGCAUAGGCCAAUUUAACCAUGGGAGGAAUUUGUAGUUUCAACCUCGAAGGAAAGAAGAAAAGAGUCCCUCCCUAAAACUAAGCCCCUCUCUGCUCAGGGAUGGAAGCCUCCUUUGUAAAACUAAUAAAAGGCCAUGAGAUUAGGAUUACAGAAGGAGCCUAAAUUCUGCUAAAAUGUGGGAUGCUGAUUCACAGAUCAAGACAUUUAAGCAGACACAGAUGGACUCCCAAGUAACCUUGGGAUCCACUUUCACAUCCCUCAUUGCCUCCAGGCCUAUAAUGAGAGCUACAUCCCAGUAUAUCCCAGAUGGGGAAGGAUAAACCUGGAUCUGAACAUCAGAAGAGUUGCAAGAAAAUUGACAGAAGUGUGCAGAGCAUGUAAGGAAGGGAGUCCUAUGGGU